rnacentral:rRNA from 1 species
GACGAACGCUGGCGGCGUGCUUAACACAUGCAAGUCGAACGGAAAGGCCCUGCUUUUGUGGGGUGCUCGAGUGGCGAACGGGUGAGUAACACGUGAGUAACCUGCCCUUGACUUUGGGAUAACUUCAGGAAACUGGGGCUAAUACCGGAUAGGCGCUCCUGCUGCAUGGUGGGGGUUGGAAAGUUUCGGCGGUUGGGGAUGGACUCGCGGCUUAUCAGCUUGUUGGUGGGGUAGUGGCUUACCAAGGCUUUGACGGGUAGCCGGCCUGAGAGGGUGACCGGCCACAUUGGGACUGAGAUACGGCCCAGACUCCUACGGGAGGCAGCAGUGGGGAAUAUUGCACAAUGGGCGGAAGCCUGAUGCAGCAACGCCGCGUGCGGGAUGACGGCCUUCGGGUUGUAAACCGCUUUCGCCGGUGACGAAGCGUGAGUGACGGUAAUGGGUAAAGAAGCACCGGCUAACUACGUG